CAGCCGCCGCGGGAAUACGGAGGGUGCAAGUGUUAAUCGGAAUUACUGGGCGUAAAGCGCACGCAGGCGGUUUGUUAAGUCAGAUGUGAGAUCCCCGAGCUUAACUUGGGAACUGCAUUUGAAACUGGCAAGCUAGAGUCUUGUAGAGGGGGGUAGAAUUCCAGGUGUAGCGGUGAAAUGCGUAGAGAUCUGGAGGAAUACCGGUGGCGAAGGCGGCCCCCUGGGCCAAUACUGACGCUCAUGCACGAAAGCGUGGGGAGCAAACAGGAUUAGAUACCCGAGUAGUCCCUGUCUCUUAUAC
rnacentral:rRNA from 1 species